rnacentral:lncRNA from 1 species
GCCAUCUCACUGGGGGAAAUCAUUUUUCUCACUUACAGAGGGAGAAAUAGUAAACACCCCAAGAUCCAAAAGCUUUAUUUCCCACACAAGCUGAAAAUCCUAUGCUGAGCGGACUAGGCAGAAGUUUCAAGUGGAAAUAAUCACUAAGAUUCCUGCUCUUCUUUGGAAGCCUAGAAAAGGUAUUCUGCUCUGUUCUUAACCUCUCCCGGUGAUGAUGCUAAAAGCAUGAAAGCUGUAGUCCUUGGAACACACACACAUAGCUGUUUUUGUAUAUGAUUGGGGCAAAAGCUGCUGUGAUUAAAUAUGGAGUAUUUCAUCUGUUUUGAGAAAAAAUUUCUUGGUUUAUGUUUAACUUUACAAUUGUUUGCUCAAAUUAAUCGUUUUUGUUUCUUUAGAAAAACAGUUUCUUGUGCUAAAUGAUUCCAUCAGUUGAUGGAAAUGGAUUGGUAUAUAUGUAUCACAAGUAUGAAUUUUACAAAAGACAGCUGUAUAUGUUCAUUAAGGAAAAAAAGAGACACGAAGCAUUUUUGUUUGUAAUUUCUUAGGGAAAAUGAUUAAAGCAAGCCGAGUUCAAGAACUUGCUUAUUCCUUUCUUCCUGUAACAUCCUCUAGUCUGUCUGAUGCACUACGGGAUAGUGACGUAAAUAGCCAGCUACCCAAAUUCGCAUGUUCCAAUCUCAGCUCUGUUACUUAUGGCCAGGUGACUUCAAGCAGGUCACUCAGCUUUUCCAAGUCCCUGUCUCCACACCUGUAAAGAGGAUUUAAAAUAGUAUCUACCUCAUAGGAUGAGUGUGAAGAUUAAACCAGAUCAUAAAAGUAAAAUUAGUAUUGUUAGGAUAUUUCAAGGAUCUCACCAGUUUAAUGCAGAAACUACCUCUUACCUUUAGAAGGAAUGUUUGUCUUGAUUAUAGAGAACAGUUCCUAGUAGUGUUGACUGAACUUGGAUCUUUCUUGAGAAGUAUCAGACAUUAAAAUUCACAACUGCUUUUGAAAAGUAGAAUGCGUUUUUUGUUUCUUUAUGAGCACUAAAAAAAUACAGUGCAUCUUCCUUAAGAAAUAUUGAGCCUUAUCAACUGUGAUAUAAUCUAAUUAAUACACUUGGGUUUUUUUUUCCCAUCUUGCUUUAGAUCUUAGAGUCAUGGAGUGUGAGUGCUAAAUGGAGCCUUAAAGAGUAUCUUUUCAGGUGUAGCUGACAUAUGUAAGCCUUCACAAGGAGGAAGUCCCAUGAAGACAAUACCUCUCUUGCUACCCCACCCCUGUCUCUGUCUCUCUUUCUCCUCUGACAACUGCACUCUCCCUAGAUAAGAAAGAGAUUCUAUCACCCUCCUCCUCACCACCCAGUCCCUUCCUGCAUCCUACACACUCUAGGUGCCUCAGUUCUGGACUAGAUGCUGAUGGAGAUUCUUCAACUCAGGUGUUGCUGCAUUUAGAGGAGGAGGAUUUGGAUUCUAGUCAACGAGAGGAAGCAAAUUUAGCGGCUCCAUUUCAUUUUGGUCUACUUAUCAGCUAAAGUUGUGCUUUAUUUUCUUGAUGAUUUGCCCUGGAAGCAAGAACACUUUGCCAGGAUGAGCAUUCAUCUUUGGGGAGACAACACAGUCUGAUCUCAUAAGAUGAAAAGAUACUCCUUUUGAUAUCAAGAUCUCAUUUGAUGUUGCCUCUUGUGAAAACAUUAUUUAACAACUUUAAUAACAUAAGCUGCUGGCUGUGGGUGGCUCUUUUUGUCACUCUGGAGAAUCAGAAGCAGCUUGAGGAGGACAGAGAGCAGGGAUUUUCCUGCUUUGUUAAAUCCCACAUCCCUUGCACAUAGAACAGGGCAAGGCACAAAGAAUAGCUCAAUAUAUAUUGGUUGACAUAAUGUAUUCAUUUAUCUUCCAAAGCUUCCAUCCUGCCCUCCACCACUCAUCCUUCAACACACACACACACACACACACACAAACAAACAAACACACACACAGUUUGGAUCUUUCUUUGCAGGGGUAGCAGGCCAGAGGUUCUUAGGCCCAGGCUGCUUUUGGGUCUGGUGACCAUUUUUUGGAUACAGAGCAGUACAUCAUUUGCUUUAUGGCUGAAGUCUCCUGCUAGUGUUACCAAUGGACCAUACCUAGUUGGACAUCAGCUGGCAAGGGAGCUUGAAAAUAUCACUUAAAGGGAAGAUGGGAAAUGAAUCUGAGAAUAAACAGGUACCUGAGAUGGCCUGUGCAGCUCCAUUUCUUAUGUCCUGUGUUCAAGACAAAGAGAAGAGGGAAGGACCAGGCCAAUCAUUUAUGUCUCUAUUUAUCAGAGAAACUAAUUUUUAUUUUCCAGAAUAUGCCUGGUUGACUUCCACCUGGGUUCUCACUGGUCUGGACUGAAAGGCUGAGAAACCGGGAAAAGAAUGGUCAUAACUGUCAGAGACCAAUUACGGUUCCCCAUCUGAAGUUGUGCAUAAUGUUAUUGUAAGCAAAACAGGGUUUCAGAUGGCAGCUAAGAGUAGAGAAUGGAAAGUGGGUACGUACUAACAGUGUCUGCUAGAGUCAGAGGUCUUCUGGACUCCCACUCCUUGCUGACUUGCUUCUGGCUUCAAAGCUUCAGAGCAGCUCGCAAUCCUGGGGAUCACUGAAUUUCACUCCUUGGCCAGUCUCUGUUAGAUAGCUCACUAUUUGCUCAUAACUUAGUUUAUGUUUGAAUCACUAAUACUUAUCUGUAACACACUGACCUUCCGUACUGGAUGUGCUGUCUUCUGGUUUUGUUUACAUAGGACUCACUGAAUAAGCAUUCACACAUAUUUAUUCAGCAUCUAUCCUGUACCAGGCACUGUGCUAAGGAAGUUGAGAUACAUCAGUGAACAAAACUGGCAAAUAUUGUUAACUCUUGUAGAGUUUAUAUUCUGGUGAGGAGAGACAGACAAUUAAAAGUAAACAUAGUCUGUUAGAAGGACUUUUCUCUUUUAAGAGUAUCAAAUGAUUUUAAGCCAUUUACUGAUUAUUCACUUUUCUAAGAAACACAAACACGAGAAUAAAAUAAAUGUAUCCAAAACCUACUAGCCCUUGCAGGAUAGGAAAAAGCCCUGAGCAGAAAGCCUGCAAAUAUUUUUCCUUAUGCCUAACAUAUGUGCUUUCUCACCUGUUCUAGGGUCCCACGUUUUGUUACCUCUGACAGUGGAAAGGCAACUGUAGCUCCAAGAUUCAUGUACAAGAGGGUCUCAAAACCCUUAAAGCUAUUUGAAGCUAAUGGUUUGUACAUUCUAGUUUACAACUCUGAGAAACAAUAUCAAACAAGCAUUGUCAACUCCUAGUGCUAUGGAAAAAACUCUUAAGUACCAUGGACAAAAACAGACAGAGCAAAGGGAAGAGGAUUGGAAGUUCCAGGGCGGUCAUAGCUGCAAUUUUAUAUAGAAUGUCCAGGUGGGGAUCUUUUGUGCUACAGCCUCAUCUGGUUUUUACUGGCGUGCUUCUAUUUCUUCUUUAAAAAUUCAGGCUGGCUUUUCUCAUAGUUGGGGAUCCUCACACUUUCCCUGGAUCUGGGUAAAAGCCAUGGAAGUUUUUUUGAUUCAGAGUUCCUCUGUCUUUCAAACAGUAAUAAUUCUCUGUUCUUCGAAGCUAGGAUUUAUGUGUUGUUUUGUUCCAGGUCGCUGAAGAGAGCGUAUUAAACAGCUAAAUCAUUCAGGAUUAAAAAAAAAUAAAUCUGCUUUUGCC